rnacentral:snoRNA from 1 species
AAGACUAUACUUUCAGGGAUCAUUUCUAUAGUUCGUUACUUGAGAAAUGUGUGUCUAAAGUGGUAGGUCUCGCUCUCCAUGAUGACGAUUCAAGAUAUUCCCAUUCAGAGCAUGAAUCUGGUGGCUGGAAAUGACUUUGCUCAUGUUUCUUCAACCUUUGAUGAUCUUUCCUUGUUCUUCAAUGAACAUGCAUGAAGGGAAUAUGUUCUGAGUGGA